ACUACGGGUGGCAGCAGUGAGGAAUAUUGGUCAAUGGGCGCGAGCCUGAACCAGCCAAGUCGCGUGAGGGAAGACGGUCCUAUGGAUUGUAAACCUCUUUUGUCGGGGAGCAAAAGACGCCACGCGUGGCGUUCCGAGAGUACCCGAAGAAAAAGCAUCGGCUAACUCCGUGCCAGCAGCCGCGGUAAUAGGGAGGAUGCGAGCGUUAUCCGGAUUUAUUGGGUUUAAAGGGAGCGCAGGGGGAAGAUCAAGUCAGCGGGAAAUUUGAGAGGCUCAACCUCUUCGAGCCGUUGAAACUGGUAUUCUUGAGUGAGCGAGAGGUAUGCGGAAUGCGUGGUGUAGCGGUGAAAUGCAUAGAUAUCACGCAGAACUCCGAUUGCGAAGGCAGCAUACCGGCGCUCAACUGACGCUGAUGCACGAAAGUGUGGGUAUCGAACAGGAUUAGAUACCCCAGUAGUC
rnacentral:rRNA from 1 species